rnacentral:tRNA from 1 species
AAAGUGGUGGUCCAGUGGUUCGGACGCCUACUUACCACCUCGGUGGUCGGGAGUUCGAAUCUUCUUUACUUUA